GUGGCGGCCAAAGCCCUGGAGAUGGGCGUGUUUGGCGCAUAUUUCAACGUGCUCAUCAACCUGAGGGACAUCACAGACGAGGCAUUUAAGGACCAGCCUCCUGCAGGAAGCCAAGACCCAGGCUGCACUGGUGCUGGACUGCUUGGAGACCCGGCAGGAGUGACGAAACCCCAGGGACAGCAGGACCUUCGACGCUGGAAGGAUAGCCUCGCUUCCCAGGUGCAGCUCUCAGCAGGUCCGGACAGUUCCACAGAGCACGGUACUGGCCCCGUCCUCAGUUCCCGUCCACCCUUCAACCAGUGGCUCCUGGGAGACUUUUCCUCCCUGCCCAGCCAGCCUCCUGUCUCCAGAGAAGUUCUCCAUUAAAAAAUAAUUUAACAAAUCA
rnacentral:sRNA from 1 species